UGGAGGCGGUCUCUUUAAAUAUCCCAGAAUUCCUCACAGCUCACACGUGUUCAUUGCUUCCCGCACUGCACUGUCGCACAAAGAUCUCACACACACGGUCAGAGACAGCAUGAGCGGGCGCAGUAUGGACGUUGAUUGUCCAUCUGAACCCCCUGACUGAAGAGAAACAUGCCAGUUUCUACGAUGUCUUCCCUAUAAGGGCUCAUAUAUUGGUUUGGCCCUGAGGCCACAGUUGUGCUUGAGAAUCCUUCUCUAACCAUUAAUUGGUAAGUGAUUUACUUUUCUUUCUAGUUUCUUUCAACCCCUUUUAUUGCACAUUCAAGUCCUGUUAUGUCUUGAGUGAUUAAGACAGGGGGGUAGAUGAAUUCUCUCAAAAACCUGAAGUAUUGGCUUAACAUUCCUUGCUUCGGAUCCUGUCGGGAGAAACAAUUUUUAUAAUAGUUAGCCUUGCUAAUUGUAUUAAGAUACUUGAUCGGUCUAAAUUUGUAUUUUGCAGCUAAUGGCAAAGGCAGAGAAUGUAAGAACUACAGUCAUUAGGUGAGUAACUUGGGCAUAUCACUGCUUUUUCUGCUUGUAUUUCAAACUGCUUGUAUUUUUUUCAUUCAACCAGUCUGAUCUAGUCUCAUGAUCCCUCCUAUGCUUUGUCCACUGGAGGCUGUUGGUGUUUCUAGUGGUCAUGUCAGGGGGGUAGAGUGAGCUACUCUUGCUAAAACCUGGGUCAGAGGUCACCUUCUCUGUGCCUGGAUCCUGUCGCAAGACACAUGCAUGUAUAAGAAUUUAAUUCAGGCAGUGUUUAUGUAAUGUGUAACCUGGUUUGAGUUUUAAAGUGAAUUUAGGUUUUCCCUUUCUCUUAACAGAUUCCGUUGAUGGCUUCUUUUUCGGCCACAUGUAUUCAGUGACUGGUGGCUUGUUCCUCGGAAGUGAUGCAACUUGAGUAGAGCAAACUUUAUUGUUGGGAGAAUUUUUGGAGAACGUCUAAAAUGAGUUGGGGCAUUUCUAUUGUAAACCAUGUGUUUUAAUGAUUUUGCAAGUUAUGCGUUGAUUGUUACCAAUAAAGAAAUGCUUGCUUGUAUUUUUUU
rnacentral:lncRNA from 1 species